ACCGUUGCAAUUGAGAAGGGACUAUUGGCAACAUAUAACCGCGUUGCAAAAGUACUUUUUGGGGGAAAGUAAAUUGAAAGAAGUAUUAACAACGAUUAUGUAUGUUGCUAUAGUCUAAUUGUAUUAGCAACGAUUUAAAACGUUGCAAUAGCUUGAGAGAAACUAAAAAAAAUAAAAAUAAAAUCCCGAUUUAUCUCUGUCUUCUGUGACUUAUCUCUCUAUCUCUCUUCAGCCUCUCCCUCAUCUACUCUCAUCGCCUCAAUCCUAAACCUUUACUUGGAUUUGUCUUGGAGAAUACUCAGGUAAUUUUAUUUUUAGAUGAAUUUCGAUUAGUAUGUGAAUUAGAUAAUUGGAUUGAAUGUUUGAUUCCAAAAUUGUUUUUUGAUUGGGUUUCCCUUCUUGUGAUUAAUUUGUUGAUUGAGUUUGCAAGUAUAGUUAAUUAUCAAACUCUAGUUUUAGAAACAUGAUAAUUAGAAUAUAAAACAAAGAAAAACUCACAAUUGCAUCAGAAAAAAUGAACUAAGUACUAUAUCCAUACUAGAUUGGGUAUGAUAUUUGCUGCUGGUGUAUCCCCUAACUGGUUCGAUGAAAACUCUUCUAGGUUAUUGAUUAUUGAACGGGUAGGUAUAAUUCUCGGUAAGUUGUAGAAAUAUUUUGCAGGCUGCUAAUCCCAAUGAAAACUCUUCUAGGUUAUAUCCAUACUAGAUUGGGUAGGUAUAAUUCUCUGUAAGUUGCUUCUCACUAAUGAGAAAAACAAUAUCUUUAUGCACAGCAUGCUCGUAUCGACAUACAGUACUUCAUCUGAUUGGUAGUAUUAGUUUCUUUGUUAUCAUGGUACUUAAUUAUGUAAGUUAACAUUUAGAAGCAGUUUUACUAAAUUGAUCAACUACUUGAUACUUGAUGCAAUUUGUAAUCGAAUUUAAGAAAUUUGAUUUAUUGGUCGAUUUACCGUUUGUAGUUGACAAAUUUUAUCGAUUAAUAUUGAAUCAUGACGAAGAGUCGUCUUUAGUUGACAAAGAAGAAGUAGCAGAAAUUUGGAAUGAAUUUCAGUCUUGCGUAGUCUGAAGUUCGUGGUCGGAUGAAAGUCUUCCUGUUCUCCGAUCGAGUUGAAAUUUUUACAGUAGUUGCAUAACGUCUAAUUCAAUAAUAUGUUAAAAUAUCGUGAUCAUCCAACGGUUGGAUUGUCAGAAAUAAAUAAAACGGAGUUACUAUUCAUCAGCGACAGUAUUUCGAAUUUUGAGUUAAACAAAAAUUUGGUUACUCUGUAAGUUGGGGGUAUAAUUCUCUGUAAGUUGUAGAAAUAGUUUUCAUUCCAUAUCAGCCUGCAAAAUAUUUCUACAAAUACCAAAUGCGCAGUCUUGUGUAACCCUUGUAACAUUUUUUUUUUCAAUAAAAUCCUUGGCAUGUAUAGGGCUGUUAUACAAACCUUGCUAUUUUGCUGUUCAUGUCAUUUUAAUAGAUCUUUUUAAUGAUUGCUUGUUUUAUUAUUUGUUAAUUCGAAAUAAAAUUGAUCGGUUAUUUAUUUCUUGUAAUAGGUAUAAAGAUAUGCCUAAGAGAGAACUUAGAGUUGCUUCUAACCAAAUUCUAUCUGUUUUUCAAGAUAAUUAUCCUGAAAUGGUGGCUAGAAAGGUAAAAUUUCAUUUCAAAGUUUAUGUGCUGAUCGCGCUGCUGAUAUAUAGCGCUGAAUUCAUACCAAUGAUGGAGGGAAGCUGCUGCUGAUAUAUAGCGCUUGUGUGGUAACCAUGCUCCUGUAUGUUGCGCUGCUGCUGAUGAUAGCGCUUCUUUUGAAGUGGCUGCUGCUGAUAGAGCUUAUGUGCUAAUCGCGCUGCUGAUAGAGCUUGUGUUCUGAUUGCGCUGCUGCUCCUUGUUUUUAUUUUACUGUUUUCUUUUGCUUGUAUCCAGUUCUGCAGAGAUUGUGAAAUAUCUUUCACAACCUGCAUUAUGCUGUUUUGAAUGGAAUGGAGUGACACUUGCCCCUCCUUGUUAUGAAAUGAUUUAUAAAUAAAAUCUAAUUUUUAGACAUUCUCUAGAUAUUUAUAAAAAAUUGGCAAAUUCAUUGAUCUCCCACUGUAAAUAUGAAAGUUUACAUUCUUGCGCGUUUUAAUUGCAUCCAAAUGAUCUAUAAUGCACUGGAUGCGGUGGUCAUCGUUUUCUCGCUUGAGAAAACUCUAUAGUGUUCUCUGUGCUUUUCCCAUUCAUGUAUUUCAAAUCAAAAGAAAUUAGUUGCAGGCAUAGGUGAAAAAGUCGAAAAUGCCAGGAUAUAUAUUCACGAAUUUUGCCGAUUUUUGG
rnacentral:lncRNA from 1 species